GGAUUGUGGCUCAGCGGUACAGCGCUUGCCUAGAGUGUGUGAGGCCUGGGUUCGAUCCUCAGCACCA
rnacentral:tRNA from 1 species